rnacentral:rRNA from 1 species
GAUGAACGCUGGCGGCGUGCCUAAUACAUGCAAGUCGAGCGAACAGACGAGGAGCUGGCUCCUCGGACGUUAGCGGCGGACGGGUGAGUAACACGUGGAUAAUCUACCUAUAAGACUGGGAUAACUUCGGGAAACCGGAGCUAAGACCGGAUAAUAUAUUGAACCGCAUGGUUCAAUAGUGAAAGACGGUUUUGCGGGCACUUAUAGAUGGAUCACGGCCGAAUUGGGUAGUUGGUAAGGUAACGGCUUACCAAGGCGACGAGGCGUAGGCGACCUGAGAGGGUGGUCGCCCACCUUGGAGCUGAGACUCGGUCGAGACUCCUGCGGGAGGGCGCAGUCGGGAAUCCUACGCAAUGGGCGAGAGCGUGACGGAACACCGCCGCGUGAGUCAUGAAGGUCUUCUGAUCGUAAAGCUCUGUUAUUAGGGGAGUACAAAUGUGUAAGUAGCUAUGCACGUCUUGACGGUACCUGAUCAAAAAGCCACGGCUAACUACGUG